GGGAGGUCGUGGGCGGUGUGAGGGGCGAGGGAGGAGGUGGCGGGGCGCGGGCGGCCGCCGGCGCCAUGUUGAGGAGGUUGCGCUGCCUCUUCCCCCGCUGGGAGGGGAGCGGGGGGGGAGGGGGCACGCCGCGGGGGUGUCGGCGCCAUCUUGGGGAGGUCGCCCCGAUUCUCCCCCUCAACGAGGCGGUGUGAAGGGGCUUCGGGCGGCGGGCGGUAGAGCUCUGAGGCGACGGCGGGCCGGGCAGGGGGUCCCAGCCUUGGCUGCACUGGACCUGGCACCUCAGCCAAGCAGACUGCGGUCCCAGGCGUGUUUUUCUGUGGAAAAAGCCGGUUUAAAAGCACCAUAGCCUGCUGCUGGGCCAUGGCUUCCCUGCCUUGCGCUCAGCCAUGUGCCACCCUGGCAGUUUUUGGGUAGGAGAAACCAUAUUGCUGAGCUAAUCUGGGUUUAAAAAAAAACCCAAAACUAAGAAAAGAGACACAGAUGAAAAUAACACGUCAGGAGGCCGGCAGGCUGUGCGAGAGGCCAUCUGUUUGUAGCUGUAAAUCUUUGCCUGCUCCCAGCGAGGGCCGCUGGCUUGAAGCAGCUGUGGCUCCUGUGCUGGAGCUCCUCCGAAACACAGCUUGGUGUCAUGCCAAGGGGAUGGGUGUCCCUGCUGCACGUAAGAAAACAGUGAUAAGACCAUUGGUGGCCUGACCGCCUGUUCUCUGCCCUGAACACCAACGUACUCCACAAGGCCUCUCGUUUCCGCUGCCAACGAGUGGGUAUCAAAUGGAACUCGGCUUUAGCCCCACUAACUAUCCUUCCUGGUAUGUGGAAGCUAGUAAUUUCUUGUAUUAUCAUACUAGGGCUCAGAGACGUCUGUUGGGAUUGUGGCCUUGUUCUGGGGGAAGGUGUUCACAUUUGAAGGCUGUUGCUGUCCCAAGGCAGCCAGGGUUUUCAGUAGAAACCUGCAAUAUAAAGGAUUUAAAACAGAGGGAAAAGGAGGUGAGGGGAAAUAUAAAUCUGUGCUUUGUAGGAGGGAGUCUUAAGAUGGGACUUGAUGUCUCAUCCACUGAAUCUGUCAAAUAUGUUUUCCCCACACCUGAAGAGUUACAUGGAAAAUACAAUGAGAACAGGUACCAGGAGAAGAGUUCACAGAAGCUGGUUAAGAGCAGCCUGGAAAGCAAAAUAUUUUCAGUAAUGCUUCAUUCAGGAUCUUACAUGUUUCUUAUGUGCUCUGUGCUAAAUAUGUGGCAGAUCAAAAAUUCAGUAGACUUUUACGUUAAUCAUAAUUUUAUUUUUGUUGGCGUAAAAGGUACACAAUUUGUUUCAUUUCAGGACAUCAGCCUGCCAUCUGUGCCUAGUAGAAACCUCGUCCAUGGGUAUGUCAUUGUACUAAAAAUGAUAAAAUUUUGGUCAUUAUACUAAUAUCAACUACUGGGAUUUUACAACUUCCCUUGGCGUGUAGUACCAGUCCCUGUAAAAGGGGAUGUGUCCUACAUGCCUGCCAACUCACAGCACUCUGCAAAUUUACUGAUACUCAGGCAAAACCAGAAAAUGCAGAAAUAACUUUCAUCUGAUAGGUGGAAUAAAACACAGCCACCAAUUUUUUCUAUUUACAAAUAGAAUAAAGCAAUAGUAGGUGACUUGUUAGGGUAGGAAGAGAUGACCGCACUAUACCCAUCUGAAGAUGCAAGCAUAUGGAAAGCACAGUAUGGAAAACAAAUGCUAACUGGUGUGCCUCCUUUGCAGAGCCAUCCAAGGCAAUUGGCAUGUGUAUCGGGUCAGCUCAGGAUUGACUGUCCACUCUGUAGAGUCACAUUCCAGUUGUCACUUGCGCAGUGCCCCUGCAUUUUUUUGGGAUCUUUGCUACAGCAUGCACACUCACAGCACAUUGUGGGGAAAAUAACACCUCUGCUUUUCACGGGAAUGUCACCUCAGACCCUGUAGACUCAAACGCGCUUUAAGUUUUGGAUGCUCUUGAUUUUUGUCAUUGGCCCCCCAUAGGUAUGAAGUGUGGAUCCAGGCCAAGUGGUGACUUAUGCCAGUUGCUGAGAUGAAUGUAUCUUCUGCUGCAGAGCUGUGAAGGUGUCCUGGCUGGGCUUGCCGCUCCUUGAAGAGAGGGGAGUGCCUUGCCAACGCAGGCAGACAUGUGGAGGCAGCUGAUGCGGACUGUAACAGCAGUGGAAUUCCCUUGUGCUAAUCAGCAGUUUUGGAGCUGGGCCACAAGCACUGAGACCUGAGGCUGUGCUAGUCGACAGGCCUGGUAUAACCCAUAGUGACCCAGAAUCUCCACAGGAGGAAGAUCACUUCCUGAUAUGUAACAGGAAAGUAGUUUUAGAUGAGCUACCAAGAAAAUUUCAUAAUGGUAGGAUCUGAUAAUACUGGAAGAGCUUUGGGACACUCUGGAGUCUCCCCCGUUGGAGGUUUUAAGAACAGGUUAGACAAAAUACCGCUCAGGAAUGCUGUAGGUAGAGUUGCUCCUGCCUCAGGGAGAGGGGUGGAUGACAUGGUCAUCUCAGAGUCCCAUCCUGGUACAUAUUUUCAAGGCCACAUGUUGCUAAUCAGUUUGGAAUGGGCAGAUCAAACCAUAGGCUCGUGAAAGUGCAUAUCUAUGAGCCAAUAGCUAUUGAGUGUGCUGGGACAGUGGCUGGCACACAUACUUACUUUUUUUCCACCCCUCUCAAAAUGCUCUUAGUUACAUGAAGAGAGGAGUGCACACAGGACCAAAGUCUCUUGGUAGGGAACAGCACCGACAUUCAUUUGGGAUGUGCCAAAAAGGUCCUCCAGAGAGGCAGCAUUUCCUAGUAUGAACAAACUAACACUUUCUCUUUGAAAAACUGAGCAUCAGCAUGUCUCUCCCCAGGUUCUCACGAGGAUGCAGACCAUGCUGUGUCAUUCACGCAUAAUCCUGCGUGAAAAGGGUUGGGAAAAGAAUCCUGGUGCCACAGAAGGGUCCAUGCACAAAUAAGAGUCAGAGUCUUGGCUCCAGUGAAGACUUUUCUUCUGUGGGAGUGUGGCUGUAUUACAACCAGAAGGUUUGCAGGUGUCAAAAAGUACUAUUAACUUUUGGGGACCACAAACAUCAGGUUUUCCUAAGGGGAUGAAACACAUGCCCUUGCUGGUGUAUUUAGCACCUCUCAUAGACCAGGUCAAUCCAACAUACUGCUCCUGUCAGCUAAGACAAUGUGGGCAGGGGGUGGGGGGGGGUGUGUGUGUAAGAUUUCUCCAAAAAGUGUUUCAGAGUCACAGGUGUAGCUGCAGGACUUCUGAACACACCAACUCUUGCAUAUUGUGUGAACAGAUACUGUAACAAACAAGAAUCUGUUACUUUCCUGGAUUUAUAUGGGAAGGCUGAUCUCUGGCAUGCUGGAGGUGAAGGACCUGCAGGUAGUUGUGCAGCAGAAGAUCCAUUCCUGGCAGCGGCAGCAAUGCUCUUCAGGGUCUGAUUGCCACCGAAUGUCCUAGCUGCCUCAGAGUUAAAACAUCUACUACUGCCUGUUGGCACUUGCAAGGCCGCCUGUGCUUGCAAGUGAUGGAAGAGGUGGAAUCCCAGCCGCUUGGCAUCUUGUAUCAGCAGGGGAAGAAAAGUGGAUGGGUCUGUUGUCUUUCAUACAGAGUUCUUAUUCUCAUCUUAAGCCCAUUGAAAAGUAACUGAUUAACCCACUGUGCUGUAAACAAAACACCCUGAUGAUUUAGCAGAACUAACUGAGCAGUUUUUGAACAUUCACAGUGGAGCCUGAAGGGGGGAAGAAUACAGACACAGCUGCUUGGCCUUUUUCUUUUCUCCCUCUUUUUCAGAUUAAAAAAAUUGCAUCCAUUGCUAUUCUUUAAUGCAAGUCUUCGCAACAGCGAUUGUUCAGUAAUGUGCAAUGAACCAGAUUUGCACGGCUCAUAAAGAGCCAGGCUGGGUUUCAUUACUCUAAGGAGGAUGUUGAUAGUGCAAUGAGUUUGUUGUAAGUAGCCUUGAUUAGGCUCUCUGGUUGCCACAGCUUCUCUGGAGCCCGAUUAGACCAAUGCUGAGUCUGAGUUUUGCAAGGAUUCCUGUGAUGAGAAGCUCUGUUAGUUUUUGUAGUCACCAAAAUCUACACAGGUGCAAUUGUUCUGGAGAGCUGCUACUGCUAAAAUAGUAGAUUCCUGCAGCAUAUCCCAGAGCCUGUCAGGGCUCUGCAAAUAUGGAUUUCUGGUCAUUCAUCUGAAUAUUACAUCUCUUCAAUUUAGAUCCUUAUACCUAGUUCACCUUUGUGUACACUCCUCAGGUAUUUUCAGCUUAUUUUCACUCCUUCUGUUCAAAUACUGUUUGGUCACGUUCAGCAUACACUGAUCUUGCCAUUUGUCUGCACAGUCUAUGACAAGCACCUAAAGUUGUCCAGUGUUAGGGCAACAUGGGACAGAGUAAAGAGGCUGAAGAUAAUAUGUGAUUAGCUUUGCCAGGUAUGAGAGAGAAGAGGCAUUUUCCCAUAUAAUUCCAGUUCUCCAGGCUUAUUAUUUAACAUAUUUGGUCUCUUUCCCAGAUUGCCAGUACCUCCGUGAAAAAGAGCUUUUUUCUCUAUUUCAGGCUCAGUGUCAUGAGAUCCACCUUAAGACCAGAAUUUCCAGCAUGGCUUCUGGGUUAUGCCAUAACUCUUAACUGGAGAGCUUGGGUAAUUCUUUGUCAUCGCCACCCAGAGCCAGCUCACACUCAUAAUUUCACCAGCAAAAAAACCUCUUAUAGAAAGGAAUUGGGCAGUCAACACUUAAUUUCAAGACUGAUUUUCUUGGACAGUAAUAAAUUUUGUUAGGGCUCUGCUGCCUAUUUUUAAGUACUGUUUGGCUACUCACCUGAACCAGCAGUGCUCCAAGGCAGCCUCAAAAGGUUUCCCUUGGGAGUAGGGAAAGAGGAUCUGUGUUAUGGGCUCUGGAGACCUCAGUUUUCUCGUCAGCAGGGAGAAAGAAUUCAUGGUUUGAAGAUCUAGAACAGGGGUCCUCAAACUUUUUUAACAGGGGGCCGGCGUGCGGAUGAAGUGGCAGGAAGUCAUCUGCGGCUGCUUGCUGCUUGGUUUCCGCCCCCCCCAACCCCCGGCGGAGUGGGGGGGAGUUCUGUAAAUACGGGGGGCCAGAUUGAGUACCCUGGGGGGCCGUAUCCAGUCUGCAGGCCGUAGUUUGAGGACCCCUGAUCUAGAACAUACCCCACAUUGGGACUGAGACCCCUGUUUUGGCGUAUGAUUAUACAACAAAAUGGAGUCUGAAUGUGCAGCAACACAAGCCAUACAUGACAUGUUUUAGGUAUAACAGCUUUACUUGUGGUUCCCCUUCUGCAGCAGCCAGUAACCAAAAGCGGUCUGGAUUUUGGGCUUGCCCCACAGCAGCCAGCUUCUUCACUGAUUCUGGUGAUUAAUCGUUUCUAUUCUGUCAGUGCCCAGAGUAUUUAGAAAUAAAAGACAGCAGUGUUGGAUGAGUGCCAUUCUCUCAUCUCUAUGAAACAGCAGUAAUAGUAACAACUACUGAGAGAGAAUGGCGUGUAAGAGCCCACUUAGGCUAUUAUGUAUAGCUUUUCAGUGCGCAUUGCAACGUUCCUUGCAGCUAAGCACCAAACUACAGUAGAUUUUACAGCAAAAACAGUUAAUGGGGAGACAAAAAUGAGAGUGUAAAAAAAGAAGAAAGGAGAUGGGAACUUGUUGGCAGGAAGGCUUUCCUCUCCCAUCCCCACGUUUUGCCUGAAGCUUAUUUUCAGACACACUGGUGAAGAUUUUUUUUUUAUUGGUUCUUAGGACAGGGGUAGCCUGACUCUAAUUUCCAUGCUGAGGCUUGCUGUUUACCAGCCCUGCACUGCUGCUGGAACACCUGAUAAUCCCAGUCCUCGAUUGUGGGACAGAGCUGGCAGGGGUGGCUGUGGCCAGCACUACUCCAGCAAACUUGGGAGCCCAACUUGGGAGCCAAACUUGGGUGACCCCUCCUUAGACCAGCUGCCGUCUUCCUAACGCAGUAGCAUACAGCACUUCCAAGUAACAUGCUGCUGCAAUGACUUCUGUACAGGGCUGCAAAUCUGCUUGUUGUGAGAUACUUCUUCAGGUCCAAACUGCUUUUCUUAGGGAAAAAAAUUCUCUAAGCAGUCACUGAAGACUGAUUACACCAAAUUGGAUAUUUAUGAUUUGCUUUUCUUCAUUACUCAAGGCAAUUGCGCCUAAACUGCGUAACAGGCAAGGUGAUUUUCCCCUGGCUGGGCUAGCCAUCUGAACACAAUUACACUUGGCUAUUAUUAGCGAGAGUGAGCGGGGCUGAGUUUACAACUGUGCAGGAGUGAUAAGCUCAAGACGACUGUGCUUCCUCUCCAAGGAACUGUCUAGCUCCGCUCCACUCCUCCGCAUCUGAGACACCACCAUGCUGAAGUCAGGAGGUAUUUUUGUUCUCUGAACAGGGGUGCCCAAAUGGCACAGGCCGAGUGGUUUUCUUUUAACAGCAGAUUAGACAGACACAAUAUCCUGCACAGUUUUACUCUCGUCAUCCAAGACACUAGUCACAGAGGUUUUAAAGUUUUCUGGUACCCCUUUUUAUGGCCUUUAGUCCAAAUACCUUAGGACCCCCAAGCCAUGAUGGCUAUGCUAGUUUUUCUGGACUCAUCACUUCGAAGAACUUACAUUUCUGUGUCCACACUAAAUUUGAAUUUGCAUUUUCAUUAAAAUCUUAAAUAUGACAGAGAGUGGGAUAGAUCUCCCUAGAUAUUCCUGUACCUAAACAAGACACCUGGGGCUGCUUUAAGCCUCUGCAUACAUUUAAUCAGAGGAAUCACAUCCUGAACUGCUCUUACUAUAUGAAUCUAGACAACUAGUCCAGGUAUUGUUGCAGACAUUAGAUUUAGGGGAGAUUAAUCCCAUGAGUCUCAGUUUUAUGACUCUCAUGUAGCAACAUGUGAGAAGAAAAACUACGUUGGAAGUAUUGUCACCUUCUGCUGACGAAACAGUAGCAUUGUGAAGCAUGGAGGAGAGCAACAAGAAUAACAGGUUUAAAAAGUGUAAUAUAGGAAUGAAAGGCUGAAAGUAGUGCACUUUCUUACUAUAAAGAGCUGAAAGGAAGAAGUUUAAGAGAAAGGAGGCAUAACAAUACUCACUUCAUGGAAGAUCAUUGUAAAGACAGUGAUGAACUGUGGGUUAUGACUGCUGGUGAGCUCAGGACUAGCACAGCUGUGCCACAUGUAGGCAUGGGAACAGUCCUGGAGUUACCCGAGAGCUGAACGAUCCUGGGAUAUUUCAAGAGACAGUGAGAAGCUCGCCAGAGACACCCCCAGGAGGUUGCCAGUCUGAAAUCUCACAAACUAUUAAAACUACUUUCAUCUCCUCUUCCAAGUAAGCUUGCAAUGCCAGGUUGUGAAGAACUUUUUAAGACCUGUCAAAGCAUUGCAACAGACCCUAACUGUGGUUCUAAGCAAGAAAAGCAAAGUAUCCACUGCUAGUGUAAGAGCUUGCAAUGUUUCCUCCUCUGCUCACUGCUUUCUGGUAAUGGCAACAGAAAUUAUGCAAGCCACAUGCAUAAGACGAUGGAAAAGGAUGAGGAAUCAAUAAAAACGUACUUCUCUAAGAAAACAGACCUAUUCCUUGGACAGUUCCAAAAGGGCAAGCUAUAAUUAUCAGGUACUCCCAAAAUAUUAUAUCUAUUUUCAGAAGGUUCCGGGCUUCCUGGAUAAAGUAUCUCAGAAGCCAAAACAACAGGUGACAGAAGGACUCUUUCUUUCAAGGACACCAUUUCAGGCCGUAUCAUUUGAGAUGAGCCAGACACCAUGGCAAGCUCAACAGUUACUACUGGAAUAAGACAAAGAGCCUCAUGUUUAGAAAGCUCUCCUGUGCUCCAGCAGAAGAUGCCUGUUUCAAUAGGUCUGAUUUAACUUCAGCUUUAAAUAAUAAAUAAAGCAUUACAUACCUUGAAGAACUGAAGCAGAAGGGGAAAUGACAAAAUGGAGAACACUAGAGAGGGAACUACUGUCAACAGUAUCAGAAGAAGCAGUGAUUUCAUAAGGGUUGGCAUUUUCUUCCUUUCAUUUCUUCAAGCAUUGGAUUGGUGCCAAUAAGCAGAUUGCAAGUCAUGUCAGAAGAUUUAAACCAACCAUAACUCCUUAUGAAGCUCUGUUACGAAGCAGCUGAUGUUGCAAGACAAUUCUUUUCCCAUAGAAAGGUCAGAUUAAGAAAACAAGGAACGUGACAUCAUUCCUCUACAUCACUUAUGAUCGAUCCAGCCUUCACUUCUGCUGUUUUAGGGGCUUGAUAAAUUCUGCUUACAACCCAAACUCUACAGACAUGAAAUAGAUACCCUUAACAGGCCCCACCCCUUCUCUGACAAAAAAAAAAUUCCAUCUUACACAUGCAGAGCAUUCCCACUGGCUCCUCCACAGCCAUCUCUAGUGAAGGAUACAUUAAAUCAAGUAUUGGAAACUCCCAGCAUCAUCAAAAGCAAAUGUCACAAAACAGAAAUUCUCUCUCUAUAUAUAUAAACAUAUUAUGGCUUCAAGGUCAGUCAACCUACAUAACAUUUUGAAUUGCUAUGAAAAUAAACCCAUAGAAGCUGUCACAGACAACAUUUUGUGUAAACAAGAGGGGACCCAGAUCAUUCCUGCUAUGCAAUGAGCAUAAAAGUGGUUGUAACUGUGUAUUCCACAAAGUGGAAUACGUUCUACGGUAGUACAUCCAUCAGAUCAGAUGAGGAUUGGGCAGCAGAUUUAUUCUACAAACAUGUUUUUCAGAUGAAGAGAGGUCAAAAAAGUCAUAGGUAGUAAAAUAACUUUUCCAGGAAUGAAAUAAUUAGGGAAUGAGCUGUUUGCUAUAAAUGUGGCAAAGAAACAUCAGACAUUUUGGUUCAGAAGUGGUCACGCCUCACAUGCCUUUUUCCCAUCUCCUUUUUAUCUGUAAGAGGAUCCCAGCAUGACUAGCUCAGGCAGAGCUCGAUAUGCCAUAGACAUGCAAAGCAAGGUGAGAUGACCCAUGUUUAAAGACUCUUUCAAAUGUGUUGACCAUUUAGCCACAGAGAAAACUAAAAAAAGAAAAACCAGCUGCAAUAAUUAUUGUAACUAAUUGCUUAACCAAUACAACUUCAAUUCGAAUGUCAGUUUUGUAGCUUCUGAUUUACCAUCUCAGUAUGCGUGGAGAACUCUUCUCCCAGGCUGGUUAUCUUUGUACUUCACAGAAGGGGCACUUCCUAUUAAAUGAUGUGGAAAAAGUA